GGGGGCGAAUGGACUCGACGGGUGUGUAGUAAACGGUGGCCGCGUGCCGGGGAUUGGUCGUUAACCCCGUAAAAAUGAUGACUAAAUCGUAAUUGCCAACGAAAACAUGGCUCUGGCUGCCUAACUUAGGUUAGAUGCAGUUCGUCUGUACCUUCCUCGCCUCUAGGGAGGGAUACGGGCGUAACUUAUAGAGGCUUUAUCUCGAACCAGCGGUCCGGGGGGAGAGACGAGAACUUAGGGCCUGGUCCUGGUGAGAUCCUGCCGGUCGGAGCUCACCGAGGACGACAACAAAUGACCUGGCUACGCACGUAGACUCCUCCGCCGAACCGCUCUCGGACGCGGGUUCGAUUCCCGCCGCCUCCACCA
rnacentral:tmRNA from 1 species